AGCAGCAGUACAGCCAUUGAUUUCAGCAUGCAGACUUGACUAAGGAUUUCCUGAUCCAGUCAGCUUGGAAAAAUAUUAAAUUGCUCUUACACUGGGGAAGACAGCAUCUCAGGUCUCCAUGUCAGAAACAGAAGGAAAAGCUACUUCUUCAACAUAAUAUCAGACAAAAAGAACAAGGCAAGGGCACAGAGAGGAAAGCUUAGAAACAGAACUGACACCAGAAACAGGGAGACUCAAUCCAUGGAGUAUUCUAUAAAGAUACAUGAUAUCAUUUGCUCAAAUGGCUGUUGAUCAUCAUCUAGCUGGGCAGCCUGGAACUGGUUCCUGAAUUUCAUUGGUAAUGUGUGUGCCUGAUUCUCUUGCUUCUACCUCUUUUCCUCAGCCAAAGACAGUUUUUUUAUUCUGUGAUAUUCUCUUUAUUUCCUUGCCUCUUCUUGAGUAAUUUCAACUGUCCGUGAACUUCUUAUCUUCAUGAUGCAUUAUGGAAUAGAAACUCUUUUCCCAGUUUCCUUCAUUUGUUCUUCCAAUAAAUUUGCAUUUGUAGCAAGUGUAGUUUGGGUAGAUUAGGGUGAUGCUUCCUCACUGUCUAUGCUCCUAGCCAAGGUCACACAUAAAUCUACUGUUUGCUUCCUAUGUUGUGAACUCCUGAAUAAGCUGCCUUCUCUGGGUCAGGAUUAGUCCAAAUUUGAAGGAGGAAGAAAGAAAAAAGAAGUGAAUAAAGAUAGUCUUUUAUUGUGAGAGUGGGAGUGCCAGUUAUAAGCAGAUGGGAUUGAAUAUGCACGUUUUCACUAGAGAUGCUUAAGAAUUUUAUUCAGUGCCCAUUUUUAUACAAACCUGUCAAAUUUGCACUUCUCAAAGUUGAUGGAACAGUUAUUCUUUGAUAUUCACACUUCCACAAAUGUUGAUAUAAAAGUUCACAGAUAAAAAUAAUUAAAGACAUACAAAAAUAUGUGUCUUAGGAUAAAUGCAUAUAAAAAUUUACGCCAGCAGAAGUCUAUAAAAUAUUCAGAGUAUUCAUUGGAUCAGUUUUAAUAGUUUAUAUUUUAAUAAUCGUUUUGAGUUUUAGCUGUUAAACUAUUUAUUUUAGUGUUAGCUGAUUUGAUAAUAGUGCCUUCAGUUGUGAAUAAUAAAUAAUUGUACUGGGUGGGAUGCAGUAUUGUGAUAUUUUCAAUUGCAUACAAUUAGAAAUAGGAAGGAACUGUCUUACAAAUAAACAUAUUAAAAAAUAUCCAAAAUAAA